rnacentral:lncRNA from 1 species
CGGUGCCAGCCGCACGAGCACGAGUUUCACCACAUUGGGGACUGCCACAUCAUUGUCGUCCCUUCAGCCGGCGCAAAGGUCUUCGGGAAUUUCACGUCGAGGAGAGAGACCAAGACACCACGAAUCCCGGGAGCCUCUACAUCAAGG